ACCUCGAGUGCCGGGUUACAAAUCUGGCUGUCGAGAUGCCUAAAAAGCAUUUCAUAGCAAGGGCCGGGCAAGACCGGUGCCAGCCGCCGCGGUAACACCGGCGGCUCGAGUGGUAACCGUUAUUAUUGGGUCUAAAGGGUCUGUAGCCGGCCGGAUAAGUCUCUUGAGAAAUCUGGCAGCUUAACUGUCAGGCUUUCAGGAGAUACUGUCUGGCUCGAGGCCGGGAGAGGUGAGAGGUACUUCAGGGGUAGGGGUGAAAUCUUGUAAUCCUUGAAGGACCACCAGUGGCGAAGGCGUCUCACCAGAACGGACCUGACGGCAAGGGACGAAAGCUAGGGGCACGAACCGGAUUAGAUACCCGGGUAGUCCUAGCCGUAAACGAUACUCGCUAGGUGUCGGCCACGGUGCGACCGUUGUCGGUGCCGUAGGGAAGCCGUGAAGCGAG
rnacentral:rRNA from 1 species